rnacentral:rRNA from 1 species
AAAGCUUGCUUUUGUAAGUUAGCGGCGGACGGGUGAGUAACACGUGGGCAACCUGCCCUYGAGACUGGGAUAACUUCGGGAAACCGGAGCUMAUACCGGAUAAUAUAAGGAACCUCCUGGUUSCUURUUGAAAGAUGGUUUCGGCUAUCACUUGAGGAUGGGCCCGCGGCGCAUUAGCUAGUUGGUGAGGUAACGGCUCACCAAGGCGACGAUGCGUAGCCGACCUGAGAGGGURAHCGGCCACACUGGGACUGARACACRGMCCARACUCCUACGGGAGGCAGCAGUAGGGAAUCUUCCACAAUGGACGAAAGUCUGAUGGAGCAACGCCGCGUGAGUGAUGAAGGCCUUCGGGUCGUAAAGCUCUGUUGUUAGGGAAGAACAAGUGCGAGAGUAACUGCUCGCACCUUGACGGUACCUAACCAGAAAGCCACGGCUAACUACGUGCCAGCAGCCGCGGUAAUACGUAGGUGGCAAGCGUUAUCCGGAAUUAUUGGGCGUAAAGCGCGCGCAGGUGGUUUCUUAAGUCUGAUGUGAAAGCCCACGGCUCAACCGUGGAGGGUCAUUGGAAACUGGGGAACUUGAGUGCARAARAGGNNGUGGAAUUCCAAGUGUAGCGGUGAAAUGCGUAGAGAUUUGGAGGAACACCAGKGGCGAANGCGACUUUCUGKYCUGUAACUGACMCUGAGGCGCGAAAGCGUGGGGAGCAAACAGGAUUARAWACCCUGGUAGUCC